AUUGAACGCUGGCGGCAUGCUUUACACAUGCAAGUCGAACGGCAGCGCGGGCUUCGGCCUGGCGGCGAGUGGCGAACGGGUGAGUAAUACAUCGGAACGUGCCCAGUAGUGGGGGAUAGCUCGGCGAAAGCCGGACUAAUACCGCAUACGACCUGAGGGUGAAAGCGGGGGAUCUUCGGACCUCGCGCUAUUGGAUCGGCCGAUGGCAGAUUAGCUAGUUGGUGGGGUAAAGGCCUACCAAGGCGACGAUCUGUAGCUGGUCUGAGAGGACGACCAGCCACACUGGAACUGAGACACGGCCCAGACUCCUACGGGAGGCAGCAGUGGGGAAUUUUGGACAAUGGGCGAAAGCCUGAUCCAGCAAUGCCGCGUGUGUGAUGAAGGCCUUCGGGUUGUAAAGCACUUUUGGCGGGAACGAAAAGGACUGUGCCAAUACCACGGUUCGAUGACGUUACCCGCAGAAUAAGCACCGGCUAACUACGUG
rnacentral:rRNA from 1 species